rnacentral:rRNA from 1 species
UACGUAGGUGGCAAGCGUUGUCCGGAUUUAUUGGGUUUAAAGGGUGCGUAGGUGGCCUUAUAAGUCAGUGGUGAAAGCCUGCAGCUUAACUGUAGGACUGCCAUUGAUACUGUAGGGCUUGAGUACUGAUGAGGUAGGCGGAAUUGAUAGUGUAGCGGUGAAAUGCAUAGAUAUUAUCAAGAACACCGAUUGCGAAGGCAGCUUACUAAGGAGUUACUGACACUGAGGCACGAAAGCGUGGGGAUCAAACAGG